GAACCAAACUUAAAACCAAAAUAUUUAAAUAUGUAUAUAGUUGACAUGAAUUUGCACCAAAACACCUAUAAAAUUGAAUAUAUAACCAUAAACAAAAAAAAAUUAAUAACUUCAGCGAUAUCCAUCAAAACUUAAUUUCACCAAUUAAACUAUAAAAGAUAUCUUAUUGAAUAAUGAUUAUAAACACUUAUUCACACAAACUAUAAUCAUGCAUUAAUAUUCAAAAUCAUUGAUAUGCAUAUAAUAUGUAUACACAUAAUAUAUACAUACAAUUAUAAUAAUAAUAUAAUACUGGCUUGUAUUUGUAUACACAUAAUAUAUGCAUUAAUAUUCAAAUUUGUAUUUGUAAGGCCGAAUUUCUGCCCGGACCCAUCUCAAAAUACCAAAACAACUAAAAAGCACAAAAACUAAAUGUCCAGCCCAAUUACUAAGACCAAUCCAAAAUAACCUAACCCAAUACCACCAUGGCCCAAAACAGAAGCAUAGCCAGGAACCCUAGCAGUUUCUGCUUACGCCGCAAUGACCCCAACAGCCCCGGUCUCCACAAACUCAGUACGCCCCACGCCCGUACAUGCCAGCUGCCUUGCCACGAUACCUGGUACCUACAAACAGACAUGAGGACAACAGCAAAAUAGAGACAGAAAAAGAACGAGCUGAUUUUUGUAUAUUUUUCAUUUUUUUCCUUUAUUUUGUUUUUCGGCUAAAAAAGCAAAAGAAAAUAUAAUGUAAUGUUUACACAGACACACACAACAAAAAAAAUCAAUACAGAAAAGCUUGAAAAGAAAAAAGUCUCCACAAGGUGAUUUUAAUCUCGUUUUUCUUUUGAUUUAGUUUCUGUUUUCUUUGAUUUAUCUACCGCAUAAAAAAAAAACGAAUAAAGGGGAGGGCAAAUCAAAUACAAAGAAAUCAAUUUUGUUUAAAGAAAAAGAGAGAGGAGACCUUAUCUUGCAGAUAUGCGGAAGGUUCUUCUCACUUCGUUGCAAUCGAAGUUGAAAAGAGAUCUCAAGGCUGAAAGUUCUCCAUCGUUGGCAGGUUCAGGCCAUCGUCUGCGCUGUCGGCCACCGGAUCUAGUGGUGGUUCGCUGCUGCAAGUUUAUUGACUGAAACCCUAGUUGAAAGGGUUAGGAAUUUCGGGGGUUUUUUUUAGAAAAAUGGUUUUGUAAGCUUUUAAAAUAUAAAUGUAUAAUAAAAGCUAUAUUAAAUUUAAAGUGGUGCAAUUAAGAGGGGGGAAACCCGCGU
rnacentral:lncRNA from 1 species